rnacentral:lncRNA from 1 species
UGGAAGCUUGGCGCUCACUCAGCUCCCAGAAGUUCUCAGAGGGUGAGGGUCCCACAUCUCCUGCAGGACAGGCCCUAGCUACUGAGUCACAGAAACCCAGGGCCGAAGCAAAGUCCCAAUCCCAGAGAGGCUGGGGCACACCUACAACUGAAAGGAGGCUUAGAAAUCCUUCAGAGACCACCCUAUCGGUUCUCCUCCACCUGGACAGGAUGAGCCAGCAACACAGAAGGAAGAGGCCUUCCUCCGAAAGGUAUAUUUGUAAGCCGAGUUGAAUGCUUUGUGGAGAGAGAUCCCAUUCAGGAGGGCUAAGCUUGAAUCCAGGACUUACUGAGGAGCAAUCACACAGAAAAGGACAGACACUUCGAGGGAAGUACCUCAGAAUGAGAGCCUUGCAUUCAUUUACUUUGGCUCAGUAGCUCCUACUCCUAUAGCAUUUGGGAAGGAAGAAUGAUUGCCUCCAUCCCAUGUAACACAGCUCAUAUUAUACAGAAGGAGAAUGCAAACUUCCUUCUCUCAAGCCUCUAAAGGUGGAAGCAAACCUACCUUACAAACAGCAGGCUUGCUCCUAAUCAGUGCCGUGAAGGGACCAAUGCUGCCUGGUACAUGGAGUCAGUAGGAGGAUGGGCAGAUGGCCACUAGCAUCAGUGACAAUGCAGCCUGGAGUGGAUUCAACAGACAACACAGACUUCCCUUCACUCUCAUCUCUGCCCCCACCAGAGGCACUGAGUCACUGGCUUAACUGAGUCACUGAACCUGGAAGGGACCACGUCCUCCUUCAUUCACUCAUUAUCUCAGUCAGCAUAUACCUCUAUGUGUCAGGCACUGUCAUGGCCGCUGCUCCAGCAAUAGAUAGGACAGGGCCCCUGCCCUCAAGGAGCUUCCAGUCCAGUCAGGGCUACCCCUUCAAUGCCACCCCCCUGCUGGAGAGCCUGGAUCUUGGGUAAGGUUCCACAUCUGUUACUGCUGUAACCUGGUGAUGUCACUUACUCCUCUGUGUCUUGGUUUCUUUAUCUGAUAUGAAAGUCUCAUGACUUGCUGAAUAAAUGUCAUAACAUUUCAUUUAACUCAGUUUAUAAUGUUGCACUAGUCAUCAGAUUCACUGAGUUCUUCAAAAAUAUAGCUCUUUGGCAAAAUUCAUUGUUAAAAAAUAAAUAAGCCAUUGUAAGCAAUUUUUAUAAAUUUAGUUUGUUUUUAUUCAUUCUAAACCAUGGGAUGCCCUUUGGACAUAAUACAAUAAUGAUUCUAGGGUUCUUAGAAACAUGCUAUUUGUUUCCUUCCUUAUCCCUCUGGAUGUGAAGUAAAAUAAUAACUUAAAUAACUUGAAGUAAAUUAUACUUUAAAAAGAAUCUCAGCCAGGCACAGUGGCUCACAACUGUAAUCCCAGCACUUUGGGAAAUCAAGGUGGGCAGAUUACCUGAGAUUAGGAGUUUGAGACCAGCCUGGCCAACAUGGUGAAACCCUGUCUCUACAAAAAUACAAAAAUUAGCCAGGCAUGCUGGUGUGUGCAUAUAAUCCCAGCUGCUCUGGAAACUGAGGCACAAGAAUCACUUGAACCUGGGAGGUGGAGGUUGCAGUGAGCAGAGAUUGAGCUACUUCACUCCACUCUAGACUAGUCAACAGAGUGAGACUCCAUCUAAAAGAAGAAGAAGAAGAAGAAUCUCAGAUUUAUAAGAUGAGAGAUUCAGAAAUAUUUGGUUUCCAAGAUCUAGGCAUAUUUGGUUUCAGCACCCAAAACUUUGGACAGCAGCCUCCUCAUUCUCUCCUGGUAGAACUGACUUGAGAGAAAGCCUGGUUAGGGCUAACUGAUUCUUAACAUCUCUCUUUAACCAAGGUCAUCUCAAUUCUAGGAAGGAGAGUGUGCCCCUGGCUCAGAUAAACCAGUGAGAGUUGAAGGGUACCAAGGACAAGGUACUCAGAUGACAAGGCUAAGGGGAAAGCUGCACUGUGGGCAGCAGGAAGUAACUGGACCCACAUCAGAGCUAACAGCAAAUAUUCACACCAUAACUCCGAAUUCUCAGAUCCCAGGUAGACUCUGACUUCCUCAGAAUCCCACUGUGAUGUCUGAGCCUCAGAGCAAGGCUUGGAUGCCACAGUGGGCUCUCCUGCUUAGUUGUAGUUUGAGUCACUCCUUUGCUCUUUUGCACCAUUUCAGCUAAAUCCUGUGCAUGGGGUGUGGGGGUUUCUUUAGACCUUGAGCCGAAGCUAGAAACCAGAUUUCAAAAAAUUCUGUGAGCAGCAUUGAGAAGCUAUACCAGGGAGAAGCAAGGACCAGGCUUUUCAGUCAAGCAUAACUGAGCUAUUAAGACACAAGAGACUCAGGCGUCUGCCUGUCCGCAUCAAUCUAAGGAAAACUCAGCACACAUUGCUGCAGCAAGCAGAGGUUUGGACAUGGGAUGGGCUGUUAUACUGUGCAUAAUUUAACCAACACAUGUCGGUGGCUGAAUGCUACAAAAUCCACUUCUUGCUCAAGUCUUACAUGACCAGUAGGGGGUCAGCAGGGGGCUCUUCUCCACAUGUCUUUCAAGGACCCUGAUGGAGGCUGAUGGAGGUUCUACCACAGCAUGGCUGCACCGUCUGGAAUCCAUGGCCUUCUGGGUCACCUGGCAGGGAAAGGAGGAGAUGAGGAGCCUUUGGACUGGCAAUUAAAUGCUGCAGCCUAGAAGGGACACACUCAUUUCCUUUCACAAUCUAUUAAUCAGAAAUAGUCAAAAGUGAUGGUCCCCAAAAAAAAGGAAGAGCUGGCUGUGGCUGAGCACUAGAAGAUUCUGCCACAGUCCCUGCUAUGGAUGAGUCCUCCUCCCCUUCUGAGACCACUCGUUUCUUCCUGCAUAUUUACUGUACAAAAAUAUUAUAACAAUACAAGGAAUAAAAAUGGAAAGGAAGCCCUCCGCAAUUCCAUCACUCUAACAAAUCAAAAAAAAA